rnacentral:rRNA from 1 species
GACGAACGCUGGCGGCGUGCUUGACACAUGCAAGUCGAACGGAAAGUCCCUGCUUUUGUGGGGUUCUCGAGUGGCGAACGGGUGAGUAACACGUGAGUAACCUGCCCUUGACUUUGGGAUAACUUCAGGAAACUUGGGCUAAUACCUGAUAGGAGCUCCUGCUGCUUGUUUGUGGUUGGAAAGUUUCGGCGGUAGGGGAUGGACUCGCGGCUUAUCAGCUUGUUGGUGGGGUAGUGGCUUACCAAGGCUUUGACGGGUAGGCGGCCUGGGAGGGUGACCGGGCACAUGGGGACUGAGAUACGGAGCAGAGGAGAACGGGAGGCAGGAGGGGGGAAUAUUGGAGAAUGGGAGGAAGGCUGAUGGAGCAACGCAGCGAGCGGGAUGACGGCCUUCGGGUUGUAAAACGCUUUAGAAUGUGACGAAGCGUGAGUGACGGUAAUGGGUAAAGAAGCACCGGCUAACUACGUG